rnacentral:rRNA from 1 species
AUUGAACGCUGGCGGCGUGCCUAACACAUGCAAGUCGAGCGGUAACAGGUGUAGCAAUACAUGCUGACGAGCGGCGGACGGGUGAGUAACGCUUGGGAAUCUGCCUGAUAGUGGGGGACAACCCGGGGAAACUCGGGCUAAUACCGCAUACGCACUACGGUGGAAAGCCGGGGACCGCAAGGCCUGGCGCUAUCAGAUGAGCCCAAGUCGGAUUAGCUAGUUGGAGGGUAACGGCCUACCAAGGCGACGAUCCGUAACUGGUCUGAGAGGACGACCAGUCACACCGGAACUGAGACACGGUCCGGACUCCUACGGGAGGCAGCAGUGGGGAAUAUUGGACAAUGGGCGAAAGCCUGAUCCAGCGACG